rnacentral:rRNA from 1 species
UACGUAGGUGACAAGCGUUGUCCGGAUUUACUGGGCGUAAAGCGCGCGUAGGCGGCCCGGUAAGUCCGUUGUGAAAGUCAAAGGCUCAACCUUUGAACGCCGAUGGAUACUGCCGGGCUAGAGUCCGGAAGAGGCGAGUGGAAUUCCUGGUGUAGCGGUGGAAUGCGCAGAUAUCAGGAGGAACACCAAUAGCGAAGGCAGCUCGCUAGGACGGUACUGACGCUGAGGCGCGAAAGCGUGGGGAGCGAACAGG